UAUUAUACGUAAUUAAUGUAUAAUAUUGUUUGGAAUAUGCUUUUAUUAUUAGUUACCAUAAGUACAAUCAGAUUUUAUUUGAUUUCCAUAAAUAUUUGAUUUUAUUUCGAUUUUUCAUUAUUAAUUCGAAUUGAUAUUCCAAAAAAAUUUCAAAGAUCCGAUUUCAGAAUUUCGGGUCAAUUUUCUGAUUUUAACCCGACCCAUUUUCAUUUGUACUUCUCUUUUAAUAGUAUAGAGAUUUGGAUUAGCAAAAAAAUUUAGAAAAAACUUGCAUUUAGGGUGAAUAUGUGGGUUUCAACAUUAUUAAACAUUGUCCCAAUGACUAGGCCACAUUGGGUUGCAAAUCCACACAUAUGGAGACGAAGUUUCUCAUAAAAACUCCAAGUUCAUCUCCGAUGACAUUUUUUAGAUUUUAUGUCAAGCUUUGUAAAGUUGGAAAGCUUGUCGACCAUCUAUUACAAUGUGGAAUCAUAAAUGAAAUUGCUCUCUACAAUCAUCUAAAUAAGACAACAACAAAAAAAACUUUUAGCUUUUCUAGAUAAAACACAAUAGAUUUUACAAUUGUGAAAUUUCUCGAGGUCUUGUAGAUCUUUAGUCAUAUUAUUAAAUGUUUGGCUAACGUUGUCUAGUUCCUCAUUUAUUUUGUGUUGUCUUUUUUAACAAUAUUCAACAAAUCUGCAUUCUUAUCUUCCAACAACUCUUUUUCUUUUAGCAGAUUCAUUUCAGUUUAAAUAUUGAAAUAAGCUUUAAUUGUAUGUAUACUUUAAG
rnacentral:lncRNA from 1 species